UGCUUGACCCGAGUAUAAGCCGAGGUAGACUUUUUCAGCAUAUUUUGGGGGCUGAAAAACUCGGCUUAUACUCGAGUAUAUACGGUACUUAGGCUUGCUUUGUGCCAUUGCUGGAGCCAGAGGAAGGCAGAGCAGAUAGCUGGCUGGGGUAUAUCAAGAACCCAGUAAUAACCGGAUAUUGCACCACUCCUAGAUAUUUGCACUACGUUAGCAGCAAUGUGCAUCUGGUUAUGUGUAUUUUUCAGAUUGCAGGGCCUAACACAUGACUGUAUAUAUAUGUAGAACAAUGUAUAAUACUUGUGACCCACCGAAGGCUCAGGAGGAGCUAAAUUUGAAGUUGUUAUAGGAUGGUGUAUCUUUUCAUUUGGUACUAACACACCCCUUCUAGCUGGAACAAACAAAAGUUAUUUUCAUGUAGAGAAAGAAGUUUUGUUACCUCUUACUUGUCCCUCUGCAUUUUGUUUAGGAUGACCUGCCUGUGGUUAUUCACACAUUACUGGGCGAUCUGAGCAGCUACAAAGAGGAGAAUGGAAUUUUGGUGCCGGAGAAGCCCACUGAGGCCAAGAAUUGCUUAAAAGCUAGGACUUUAUUUUAUCUGACGGUGUAUCCUGUGCAGAGCCCCCAGAACCGGUUCUGUAUCCUGACAAUGAAUCCAGAUACUCUUCCAUCAGUUUCCACCAUACUUUUGUAUGUGCGGUUAUAUUCCCAUCCAUGAGUGUCUGUGCCAGUGGUGAGGGACCCUAAAAGAGCUGCUCUUGUUUUCCAUGGCUUCCUUUCCAGAGUUGGAUUACUAUCUGGAAAUAUAUAUAUAUAUAUCUUCAUAUGUACUCGAUCUCUGGAAUGAACUCGGGCCACUUCUUGCAACUGCCUCAUUAACAUUAUGUUCUGUGAAUUUUCUUUGCAGUCUCCAAAAAGACACUUCUGCAGAUUCCCAGGAUCUGGGCUUCUUUCACUUUUUUGCCUUCUCCUUGAUAGACGGGUAUAUCUCAAUAGUCAUGGACAUGGAAACACAGGAGAAGUAUGUGAAGCUUUGGGUUUCAGGGCUAGAGAAAUCACUCAUAGGGAAAGCAACUGUGUUAUCUAUUCUACUGGUCCUGUAGAUGGUGGCAGCCAAGAAAAAGAGUGUGUGUAUGUGUGUAUAUACCUGUAUAUAUAACAGUUGAAAAUGGACCAGCACUCCAAUUUAAUCAAAUAAUAGUGUUUUUAUUCAGACAUCACUAUGCAUCCAACGUUUUGGCCCGCAUUGGGGCCUUUAUCCUUGAAAAAGGCCCCAAUGCGGGCGAAACGUUGGAUAAAAUUCCUCGUAAACCAGUGUUUAGCUAUUCUCGUAACACUAAUCUGAAAGAGCAUCUAAGCCCAUUUGACCCGGUGCAAAAAUAUUUGCAGUCGAGAGCUACACACUUUUUUACACCACGUCCUGGGGUGUUUAGAUGCACGGGGUGUGUGGUUUGCAACACAUUGAUUACUGGAUCAGAGUUCAGACACCCCAAAACAGGCAAACAAUAUAAAAUUAGACACAGGAUGACUUGUACUACUACAAUGGUGGUAUAUGUGAUUAAAUGUCCCUGUGUUCUGAUGAAUUGCGGUAAAACUGUAAGGCAACUCAAGGAAAGGAUCAAUAUGCACAGGGCAAGUAUCAGGGCUGUAUUAGACCCAGAUAGGAGGGUGGACCCCGAUAAGCAGGACAUUGCCCAGCAACCUGUUGCGAAACAUUGGCGUGAGGCCAGGCAUGAUCCAUCCCAAUUUAAAUGUAUGCCUAUAGACCAUAUACCGACGCCACAGAAAGGUGGAGAUAUUGUGAUUACUGUUGAAACUAAAGCCUUCUGGAUUUAUGAACUUGACUGUGUCGCCCCUAAGGGGUUAAAUGGACAGCUGCAAUUAAAUUGUUUUUGACAUAGGGGUCUGAUAUGGUGUAUGAUGCCAUGAAUGUGAGCUUUUUGAUCAAUCAUAUUAACAUAUGCCCUUUUCGUCUUACAGAAUCAUGUUGAAUCAAAUAUAAUCACAUAUCUUGUUUCACCUCUGUAAGUAACCAUCAUUUUCUUUUUCAUCUACAUGCAACAAGAAGUAUCCAAUACAAAGCUCUUUUUUAUACAAUGUUUAUUGUUCAGUUUUAAAUACAAUGUUUCCUUUUUUCAUGGACACUUUUCAGUAUAGAAUGUGGACACUGACAUCUGCUGGCGGAAAGCAGAAUUGCACACUGGCACUAAAAGACUGAAAAAGAAAAAACUUUGUUCUGACGCUUCUAAUUGGUCACAUGACGUCAUUUUUGGCGCCCUAAUUCACUAAUGGGGGUGGGUAUUUAAUGUUGGUAUCACUGUUACACAAUAUCCUUGAAAAAGGUCCCCAGGUGGAACCGAAACGUCGGAUUAAGAUGUAUACUUGAUCACUUGACAAUAAAAGCAUUUUUUCUUCAUAUUCAA